UGGUGGAGCGAUUUGUCUGGUCAAUUCCGAUAACGAACGAGACUCUAGCCUACUAAAUAGUUCGGGGGCCCCGCUUAGAGGAACAGGUGGCGUUUAGCCACACGAGUUUGAGCA
rnacentral:rRNA from 1 species